CGGGAGUCAGGCUCUUCAACUCCGCCCAGCAGCCCCGCACCUCCUCCCGCCCUACCCACAGCCUUUCUGCUGCUCCCAGCCAGUCAAGAAAGCUAGCUGUCCCAUGGAGGCAGGAGAACAUGCUCAAAGGAAAGGAUGCCAACGCUGGAGCCAAACAGAGUCUACUUGCUUUUGCACAUCACAUACCUUUAAGCUGAAACUCUGACAGACAUAAGGAUACCUUCCUGCAAUGCUGCUGUGAGUGACAGGUGGUACAUGGAAAGACUGAUUAACUUCCAGACAGCCUCUCUUUCCUCUUUCCUAACAAACUCACGGGGGUCCAGCCAUCUUUACCAGCUAAAUGAGGAAACCAGGAACAGAGCUUGGUGGCAUUUCUGAGGUCUCAUAACAAGUGAUGCUCAGAGACACUUGUCAUUUGUACUCAGCAUUUCAUCAAAUUCCAGCCAAGAAUGUUGAGUUUCUCACUAAAGGAGCCUUCAAAGGAGUAACUUUCUAGAGCAUCACUGCAUUGUGAAGAACCAAUCCCUGGAGCAGAACAUCCUGAGAGAAAGCAACACAGGGCUGCAAAGCAUAGUGAAGAUCCAGAAAGAGUGGGCUGGCCAAAGCGAAACAACAACAUUUUGGGGAGGCUGGCAGCCGCCUUAGCUGGAAACUGGGAAGCAGACUCUCUUGGUACCUUAGGGAAGCAACUUGACAUUCUCCAAAGAUCUGAAAUGUCCCUUCUUACAACCAACAGCACUAUUCAAAACAGCAUCGUUCUUUCACUCUGGUAAAAAGCUGGCAAGAAUCUCACAGACUUGCAUCAAUAGAGAACUGGAUACAUACAUUCUGGGGCUAUGUGCAAGCUCACACAGUCUUAGGUUUUUUACCUAAGACUAUAUAAAGCCACGUAUGUUUAGUAUGUGCAGAGAAACAAGCCUGCAUUUGUUUCAUUGAUAAAAAGAGGACAGAAUGCCUGAGUCAGGGCAAUAGUUCCCAUCCUAUAAAAGGUGACAAGAGAAAGCCUCACAGAACAAAACAAAGGACCAAAGGAAGAGAGUAAGGAAGCCAACAUCUUUUGGGGAAAGGGUCUUCCAAGCACAAGGACUACUGAGCAAGAAGUGCUAAGGCUGAAGGGAUGAUGUUGGGGCCCUAUACUGUGGUGACAACUAGCCACCAGCUGAGAUCAAGGGUAAGGCAUAGUAAAGGCAGAGCUUGUGGGUUCGUUCCACAACCAAGAGAGUGUAUGACCAGUUUCACAAUGAUCACUUUGGUUGCCUUGUCAUGGCUGGGGGAUAGUAGGCAAGGGAGAAACCACCAGGCCAGCUACAGUUACUGCAGUGAUCUGGAAGAGCAUAGUUAAGAGAAAAAAAAAAAUGGUCACCAAAGUACAAGCGGUUGGGUUCUAAAUGUUGUUUGAAAGUGGGAUGAUGGAUUUGGACAGGAUGGACAGGAUGGACAGGAUGGACAGGAUGGAGACACAGAGGAAGGUUAGCAGGCCCGUGAAAUGCCCACAAUGGAGAAUGGCAGACUCUGGAAGGCACUAGUCUCCCAACUGCCUGGUACAAGCUACUACUUGCAGGACAGGCCGAGGGGGAGGAGGCUUGAGGUUUUUCUUUUUUGAGGAUCCCCUGUAUAUACACAGCAGACUCCACUGGAAUGAGAUGUCAGCUCACAGCCAUAGGAUGGCUGCAGGGGAGGUAGUGGGGGGAGAGCAGGGGCUGGGAUGUGAACUGAGUGUUUUGAUAUACUUGAUAUGAGGAGAAAAACCAAGCACCUCACCACAGCAGAAAACACACAGUCCCUCUUGAUCUUCAAAUACUAAACACUGUUUUCUCAUGCUUUGAGGAGCAGACUGAGACUUAUUAUACAUGGUUCAUAAUGUUUCAUUGUGGCUCUUGAAGACACAGAAUCAUUAUUUUUGUUAUCAGAACAAGUAACAUACUUUAAUCAGUUUACCAAAGAACACAGCUACGCUACCGAGAAAGCAGUGUAGGAGGAAACCAGGCGGCCACUGGCUUAGAACAGAAGGCAGAAGCAGGGGCAGGGCCUCACAGGAAGAAUGGACCAAUGAAAGGCAAGAACACAAAGGUGCCACACAAUUCCGAAUAAAGUUUAUUAAAUAAUAUGUACAGCAAAGUAGUAACUCAACAUGUCUAUCAAA